rnacentral:rRNA from 1 species
CAAUAUGUCAGCGGCAGACGGGUGAGUAACGCGUGGGAACGUACCUUUUGGUUCGGAACAACUGAGGGAAACUUCAGCUAAUACCGGAUAAGCCCUUACGGGGAAAGAUUUAUCGCCGAAAGAUCGGCCCGCGUCUGAUUAGCUAGUUGGUGAGGUAAUGGCUCACCAAGGCGACGAUCAGUAGCUGGUCUGAGAGGAUGAUCAGCCACAUUGGGACUGAGACACGGCCCAAACUCCUACGGGAGGCAGCAGUGGGGAAUAUUGGACAAUGGGCGCAAGCCUGAUCCAGCCAUGCCGCGUGAGUGAUGAAGGCCCUAGGGUUGUAAAGCUCUUUUGUGCGGGAAGAUAAUGACGGUACCGCAAGAAU